UACACCCUACGGGGGAAAGAUUUAUCGCUGUGAGAUGAGCCUAUCUCCCAUCAGCUAGUUGGUAAGGUAAGAGCUUACCAAGGCAAUGACGGGUAGCUGGUCUUAGAGGACGAUCAGCCACACUGGAACUGAGACACGGUCCAGACUCCUACGGGAGGCAGCAGUGGGGAAUAUUGCACAAUGUUCGAAACCCUGAUGCAGCAACGCCGCGUGGAGGAUGACGCAUUUCGGUGUGUAAACUCCUUUUAUCAAGGAAGAAAUUUGACGGUACUUGAUGAAUAAGCACCGGCUAACUCCGUGCCAGCAGCCGCGGUAAUACGGAGGGUGCAAGCGUUACUCGGAAUUACUGGGCGUAAAGGACGCGUAGGCGGUAGGAAAGUUGGAUGUGAAAUCCUAUGGCUCAACCAUAGAACUGCAUCCAAAACUCUCUAUCUAGAGUGAGGGAGAGGUCAGUGGAAUUAGUGGUGUAGGGGUAAAAUCCGUAGAGAUCACUAGGAAUACUCAUUGCGAAGGCGACUGACUG
rnacentral:rRNA from 1 species